rnacentral:tRNA from 1 species
GCCGGGGUGGCGGAAUAGGCAGACGCACAGGACUUAAAAUCCUGCGAGGGAUAACCUCGUACCGGUUCGACCCCGGUCCUCGGCA